GAAUUCGCCCUUAGAGUUUGAUCCUGGCUCAGGACGAACGCUGGCGGCGCGCCUAACACAUGCAAGUCGAACGAGAAAUGAGGAGCUUGCUCUUCAAAUCGAGUGGCGAACGGGUGAGUAACGCGUGAGGAACCUGCCUCAAAGAGGGGGACAACAGUUGGAAACGACUGCUAAUACCGCAUAAGCCCACGGCUCGGCAUCGAGCAGGGGGAAAAGGAGCAAUCCGCUUUGAGAUGGCCUCGCGUCCGAUUAGCUAGUUGGUGAGGUAACGGCCCACCAAGGCGACGAUCGGUAGCCGGACUGAGAGGUUGAACGGCCACAUUGGGACUGAGACACGGCCCAGACUCCUACGGGAGGCAGCAGUGGGGAAUAUUGCACAAUGGGGGAAACCCUGAUGCAGCGACGCCGCGUGGAGGAAGAAGGUCUUCGGAUUGUAAACUCCUGUUGUUGAGGAAGAUAAUGACGGUACUCAACAAGGAAGUGACGGCUAACUACGUGCCAGCAGCCGCGGUAAAACGUAGGUCACAAGCGUUGUCCGGAAUUACUGGGUGUAAAGGGAGCGCAGGCGGGAGAACAAGUUGGAAGUGAAAUCCAUGGGCUCAACCCAUGAACUGCUUUCAAAACUGUUUUUCUUGAGUAGUGCAGAGGUAGGCGGAAUUCCCGGUGUAGCGGUGGAAUGCGUAGAUAUCGGGAGGAACACCAGUGGCGAAGGCGGCCUACUGGGCACCAACUGACGCUGAGGCUCGAAAGUGUGGGUAGCAAACAGGAUUAGAUACCCUGGUAGUCCACACCGUAAACGAUGAUU
rnacentral:rRNA from 1 species